ACAUUAAGUCUACAUUUGAUUUAUAUUGAACUGAUAGUCAGAAACUGUAGCAAGUUUUCAGCUCCAAAGGCUGUUCAGUACUUCCUGUGCUGCUUCACUGGUGAUGAGCUAAGCUAUUGUGGCCAUGGCUGCAGAAUUAAGACACAGACAGUGUUGAGAUUACUAUGAUUUCUGUAACUGGAAUAAUAAUUUGCCUGCCCAUAGCAAGGUUUCCUCAACAGUAGUUCAGCUGUACCUCA